rfam:TPA: Bos taurus chromosome 1, whole genome shotgun sequence.
UAGCUCAGUCAGUAAAGAAUCUGCCUGCAAUGCAGGAGACCCAGGUUUGAUUCCUGG